UGUAACCUACGGGGGGCAGCAGUGAGGAAUAUUGGUCAAUGGGCGAGAGCCUGAACCAGCCAAGUCGCGUGAAGGAUGACGGCCCUAUGGGUUGUAAACUUCUUUUGUCAGGGAGCAAUUGAGUCCACGUGUGGGCUUAGCGAGAGUACCUGAAGAAAAAGCAUCGGCUAACUCCGUGCCAGCAGCCGCGGUAAUACGGAGGAUGCGAGCGUUAUCCGGAUUUAUUGGGUUUAUAGGGUGCGUAGGCGGAAUAUCAAGUCAGCGGUACAGAUUCGGGGCGCAACCCCGUCGUGCC
rnacentral:rRNA from 1 species